rnacentral:rRNA from 1 species
AGAGAUGCACUGGGUGUAAAGCGUGCGCAGGCGGUUUUGUAAGACAGAGGUGAAAUCCCCGGGCUCAACCUGGGAACUGCCUUUGUGACUGCAAGGCUGGAGUGCGGCAGAGGGGGAUGGAAUUCCGCGUGUAGCAGUGAAAUGCGUAGAUAUGCGGAGGAACACCGAUGGCGAAGGUAAUCCCCUGGGCCUGCACUGACGCUCAUGCACGAAAGCGUGGGGAGCAAACA